GUUACGUUUAGCAAGAAUGAAUGAAGAGAUGCGGGAAUCAGAAGGACUUUAUGGACAGCCAGGUGAUGAAACCUACCAGGAUAUUUUUCGUGAUUUUUCCCAAAUGGCAUCCAAUAAUCCAGAGAAACUAAAUCGUUUCCAGCAAGAUUCACAGAAAUUCUGAGUUUUUUUUAAGAAGGGGAAAAUAUUAAAUUGAAUGAUCCCCUAAUGUGUACAUCUGAAAUCUCACAAAUUUUUACUGCUUUAAUUCUACUUAAUUUUAGUAGGUAUUGAGUGGUUUGGAAAAAAGGUACCAGUUCAUUGAUAUUUUUAUAAAUUAAAACAUAGAGCUCUAGUAGUUGGGAGAGGAACCUAUUUUAGGACCUCUUUUAUAAAAAAAAAAAAAAAGUCUGUUUAAAGGGCUAUUUUUUAUAGAUAAAGUUAAAUCUAGACUUAGGUCAUCUCUAGGUUAUAAGAUGCUAAGAGUUUAGACAAAAUCUCUGUUUUUGCCAAUGGGUGGUAGCAUUGAUUUUUUUUUUUUCCUAUGCAUCAUGCCCAGGAUCAUUCAGUCAAGCAUGUCUGCAUCAAAGUGAGAGCCAGAUGUUCUGCCUGCCUGAAGAAUAUGUCUUUUCUUUAGCUUCCCUAAUGAUUUUUGGUGGUUCAAAAAUAUUUUUUUUUGUUGUUUUGUUUUGUUUUCUAAUAUCCUAACUAUCAUAUACACAGUAUGUAAUUUAAUUAUCAGAGCUAGAGAAUAUGUUUCCUCCAUUUGCUCAUAAAUGUAGUGAUACUCCUUAGAUUUCUGGUUAUUGGCAUGUAUGUUAACACACGUGUAAUGGCUGGACAAGUAGACAUAACUCAGUCUUUCAGAUUUAUUCCAUUUUAUGAAGCAAAAAGAAGCCCUUAACAAUUUUUUUUUAAAUAACCAAAAGAAUCCUUACUUAUAGAAGUUGUAGUCCUUCAUUAUUGGGUUGGUUUCCUAAAACCUUGACAAAUUUAUUGAUGUAAUAAAACUAUGUUUCAAAGGUUACUUGAAUGUUGAAAAAUUAUGCUUUUAUCAGAUUGUAAAACUUUUAAAGGAUAAGUUGAUUUAUAAAAUAAUGUAGAGCAUUUUUAUAUUUGAAAUUUCUCCUUUUCAAGAUAAUUUUGCUAUUGCAUUGAGUGAAAGAAAAAUUUCUGUGAAAGAAAAACCUCAUGUUUUUCUUAGUUUAUACUAAAUUACGUAAUGAUAGAUUGCUUUUAAUUUUUUCAACAUCUAUCCUGUGUACUUUGUACACAGUGUACAGUAUUUUUAAUUAUACUAUCUAUAUAUCUUUAGUAGUUGGUUACAUGAAACACUGACCCUUGAAUUCCAAAACAUGGAUCUACUAAUUUACACGUAAAUGCUAUAAAUUUGUCUGAUUCCAUCUUUGAUGGACAUAUCUUGUCAGGAGUACAAAAUAAGUCAUUUGCCUUACGGUUUCUAAUAUUGUCAGUAAUUAAGUUUAAUCUUCUUUUACAAGUUAUGUCGAAGUGAUAUUAUUGAUACUCAGUUUCUAAAUAAGAGUUUCUAAAAUUUGCAUUACCAAAUAAGUAGAAAAAUUAUAUUUAAUUUGGUAGAUAAUAAAAUUUUCUAACAUCCCUCCCUCCAGUAACUAGAGUUUUAUAAGCUGAUUGCAUGUCAAAUCAGGAUUUGUCUAAACAGGAAUUAGACUGAAGUAAAUUCAUGUCACAGAAAAGUUUCCAUAUUUGGCCAAAUUGUGUGCAUAUAAUGCUUAUUUAAUAAUAAUCAGUGUAUGUUAGAUAAGGAUAAAAUAUAUUUAAUAGUUAUUUCUAAGAAAAUACUAACUUCCAAUGCCUGUAUUUUAAUUGCAACAGUAACAGGAACAUUAAAUCUCUGUUUCUCACCUCAGAGUCACAGAUCAUCUGGCUUUGCACAAGUCUAGUCUGUAACAUUUUUAUUAGAGUGUACUUUGAAGUUGUCCAAAAAGUUCAAGGAUAAGGAAAUAUGUUAAAAAUGAACAGAAAGAAAAAGAGAAGCUCACUUUUCCUUUGUAGUGCCUAUUCCUGUUAAUCAUAGGCUUCACUUCUAAUGCUCCUAAACUUUAUCUGAGGAAGCCUGAACAGUUUUGCUUUGAGAUCCAGCCAGUGGUGCUUCACAUCAUCUCUGGGGUCUCUGGUUGUGAAGGCCAUUCCUUAUGACACUCUUACCUCCUGUGGCUUGAGUCAUGAGUUUUAUUAAUGUGGUAGUAAUUAGUGUCUACUUAAAUUUAAUGGUUAGAGAUGUAUUUGAAGAUUAUCAUGGUUCUGAAUAUCUUCAGAGAAACUAAAUCUUUAACAGUAUAGGAAGCCUGGCAAUACAAAAAUACAUUCCUGUGGCUUGAUUUCUUGAAUAUGCCAUGACCCAAUUUGGAUGAAAUUUGGCAGAAACGAUGCAGUAAAUAUAGCAAGGCGUUAAAGUAAAUUAAUAGUUACAAGUAGUUACAACGUAGAUUGGGUCUUACCAAGGUGAAUUUAGCUGUGUCAACUAAUAGCUUUUAUAUAGUAUGUAACAAAUCUGAGUUUUAUUAUGCUGUGAAUUAUUCUCAAUGCAUUAUGAGAAAUUAUAGUGUGAACAAUGUUAAUCAUACUUUCGGGCUUCGUAAGUCAAUGUGAUCGCCCUUUGUUUUCUUUCCCUAACUGAUCUGCUUAUAUUAGUUUCUGAUUCCUUAUCAGUAUUCUAUUAGCUUAUUGUCACUAGCACAGUAACUUAAAAGCUAGAUUAACAUCAAAAUAAGAAUAGCAGUACUAUGAAGAGCUCAUAAAAUGCAGUCUUGCACUAGAACUAGACUAAAGAUAAUUGAGUAGUUAUUUGCAGUGUUUCCUUGUAACACUUUUAUGUUUAAGAUUUCUAAGGUUUUUAAAAAUUACCUUUGGUACAAUCCUUAGAGAUUCAGAAAUUUCCAGGGAUUCAGUACAUUACAGUGUUUACCUAAUUUUUACUGGUCUUCACUGUAUAUUUUAAUGAGCUUUGAUGUUUACUUUCUGAAACAUAUAAUUUAAUUUGGAAUAUAUACUAUAAUUUUGAAAAAAAAAAUGACACCUUCACAGUCUGGACAACUUAAGUUUGUGGUGUGUUGGGCAGUAUUUUAAAAAAUACAAUUUUACACAUGUAAAGUAUGGUGACAAUAAACCAAAUUGUAUUUAAGACUAAAUUUACUACUCAUUUUGAAUAAGAACACAUUCCCAUAGCACUCUUACAUUGUCCUAUUAACUUUUCUGUUUGAUAGCACUUUUGAUCAUGGACAGGAGCAGGAAAAAUGAUGUAUUUUUAUAGAAUUGUUAUGUCCAAAAUGACUUCCACCUUCAUGAUACAGUGGAAAGAGCACUGACUAGUAGUUACUGCCCUUUUUGGAUUCAGAGCUCCUCACAAAUGAAAUGAGUGGGUAAAACAUGGUGAAACUGUAACAGCAUCCUUUUGUGUACAGUUCUGCUCACAGUGUACUUUGACAUUACUUUAUCUCACCUGAUUCUGACAGUAGGACUUCUGCGAUAUUAAUCUAAGAAUGCCAGCAUUUCUGUUCUUUGAUCCUGGGUUGCUCCUCUUGGUUUAUAGAGGGGAGUCGUUGAUGUGCUGGUUGGUAGGGUAGCUGACACCAGAACCCCUGUCGGACUGACUACUAGUCAGAGGCACUUUACUUGUAUCAUGAAAUGUUUUGAAAUCAUUGUAAAGUAGCAAAAUCUGAUAAUGACUGCCAGCUUUCCUUGUGUUUUCAUAAUGAAGACCCCAAAUAUUUUGGAGAACCUGGAUAUAAAAUUACCUUGAAGGAAUAGAUUAGGAUUUAAAGACAUUAAAUUGUAGGAAAUAUUACAUUUUUGUAAUAACAAAUAUUAAUGAGAGCGACACAUGGUAAGGUGAUUUUAAUUUACCAUAUACUUAUCAAAUUCUUGAUGCUUCCAAAUGAAAGGUAACUAAAAGGGCCUUGGAUUCAGUUUGGCUGAAUCCUGACAUCUAUAAACAUAGUUUUGUAGACAUCCUUUUCCAAUUACAUAAACUUAUCCACUUAAAAUGAAAUAAUAAGGGGAGGGAAAUAAGAUUUGAUUAAAUAAUAUUUUCUCUGCAUUGGUCUUUUCCCUAUCUUAUGUUUUAAGAUUUUCUUAUUUUUCCUCAACAACCCCCUGCCUUGGGUGUUAAUUUUAAACAGGGAAAGCUUGCUACAUUAUAAAGAUUGCUGGCACCAUUUAUUUUACACAAAGGCUAAAGGUUAACUUUUCGAAAUGAUGAGCUACUUUUCUAUAUGUGUUUACUUGUGCUUUGUGGUAUUUCUGAACCAUUCCAGUCAUAAAGACUUAUUACAUGUAAUAUUUCUUGCUACCUGUGAAAAGGCAUAUUUUAAAGAAUGUAUAACCAACACUCCAUUUACUUUUUAUUAGUAUGUAGAGGAUUUGUAUCUAAUUCAUGAAUGUAGUUUUACUGUAGUUUGUCAUUGUAAAUGGAGCAAAGUACAUUAUCUUUAUAGUUAUUCUAAAAUGUACAUUAUGUAAGAAUUGUAAAUAUUAUACUUGAUUAAAUACUUUGUAUGCUGAAAAAUUAUGAUAAGUCAAUAAAAAUCUCACCUCUGGCAUAGUUCUCUUA